UUUUUUUUUCUUGUUACAGAGGCUUCAUCUCAGGAACUGGCCGUGUCUUCCCAAAGGUUCCUGCAGUGUCUCCAUCACUGCCCUGACACAUACUUGCCCCUUUAUCUACUCAUCCACUUACCCUGAAAAUAACCAAAAAAAAAAAAAAAAAAGAAAAGAAAAGAAAAAACUGUGGAGGUGACAGUGGCUAUGUGGAAGCAGGGAUGAACUUGACAUGCUGGCUCCUAUGAAGCUGAAAAACAUAAAAAUGAAGACUUCUAUUUAAAGUAACACUGCUCUGUCCCAGGAAAUCCUUUUGUUUUUUACCUUUUUUAAAAAUAAAAAUCGAAUAUUUGAAGAUAUACAACAUGAUUUCAUGCACAUAUACAUAAGUGAAAUAAUUAAUCUAAUUAUUGUCACAUCCUUUUUUGUGUGUGAUGAGGCACUUGAAACCUAUGUCUUACCACAUUUCCAAUAUUAAGUACAGUAUUGUUUUCACUGAAGUAUAGUUGAUUUACAAUACUGUGUUCAUUUCAGGUAUAUAACAAACUGAUUCAGUUGUGUGUGUGUAUUUCUAUUCUUUUCCAUUCUAUUUUAUUACAAGAUAUUGAAUAUAAUUCCCUGUGCUAUACAGUAAAUCCUUGUUGUUUAUCUGUUUUAUAUAUGGUAGUUUACAUCUUUUAAUCCCAUACCCCUAAUUGAUCCCUACCACCCUCCCUUUCCCCUUGGUAGUCAUAAGUUUGCUUCCUUUCCUUUUCCUUUCCUUUCCUUUCCUUUCCUUUCCUUUCCUUUCCUUUCCUUUCCUUUCCUUUCCUUUCCUUUUCUUUUCCUUCUUUGCUUCUUAGGGCCACAGGUACAGCAUAUGGAAGUUUCCAGGCUUGGGGUCAAAUCAGAACUACAGCUGCCAGCCUACGCCACAACCACAUUAACGACAGAUCUGAGCUGCAUCUGUGACCUACACUGCAACCCAUGGCAUCACCGGAUGCUUUAACCCACUGAGUGAGGCCAGGGAUCAAACCCGCAUCCUCAUGGAUCCUAAUGGCAUCCUUUCAUUCUUUUGUAUGGCUAAGUAAUAUGCCAUUGUGUGUGUGUGUCUGUGUGUGUAUGUGUCUGUGUACCACAUGCUCUUUAUACAUUCAUCUGUCAGUAGAAAUUUAGGUUGCUUCCAUGUCUUAGUUUUUGUAAAUCAUGCUGGUAUAAACAUUGUGUUUACAUGUAUCUUUGAAAUUGGAGCUUUUGUAUUUUCCAGAUAUGUGCCCAGGAGUGGGAUUGCUGGAUCUUACAGUAUCUCUAUUAGUUUUUUGAGGAACCUCCAUAUUGUUUUCCACAGUGGUUGCACCAAUUGAUAUUCCCACCAACAGUGUAGGAGGGUUCCCUUUUCUCCACAUCCUCCCCAGCAUUUAUUAUUUGCAGACUUGUUGAUGAUGGCCAUUCUGACCAAUUUGAGGUCAUACCUCAAUGAGUUUUCACUUGCAUUUAUCUAAUAAUUAGUGAUAUUGAAUAUCUUUUCAUGUGCUUUUUGGUCAUCUGUAUGUCUUCUUUGGAGAAAUGUCUAUUUAGGUCUUCUGCCCAUUUUUUACAUCAGAUUGUUUGGUUUUUUUUUUUUAUCUCUAGAUGUAUUUAUCCUACAUAAUUGCACCUUUUUUUGCAUGUUUGUAUCAAAUAUUUUCUAUUUGAUUUAAAUGUAUGGACCUCACAUUCAGGUCCCUUUAGAAGACAGAGAGGAGGGAAUAUCUGUGAAUGGUUGUGAGUUGAGAUAUCAUUCCAUAGCCAUCCAUCUAUCCACCCUAAUCCAUCUAUCUAUCCAUCACAAUCCAUCCAUCCAUCCGUACACUACCAACCACCCAUCCAUCCAUCCAUUCACACAUAGUCUGGGAGGAUCUGAUGGAUGCAGGGUCAGGCUAGGUGCAGGGGGAAUGUCUAUCUGCUACAAAACUUCCUGUAUUAUUUGUAUCAAAGUGCAGUUUUUUAAAAAGUAUUUUUUCUUUCCAUCUUGAAGUCACAGAGCAAUUGCUGGCAUUUACUUACCUUCUGCACCAGCAGUCCUUGCCUUGUUGGCUUUGAAAUUAAUUUUCUUUAUCUUGACACAAAGACCCAAAAUAUGAUUUUCUUCCCAUAGGAACAGAUGGUGAGGAGGAAGAAGAACUUACAACUUACCAAAAGGGGCAUACUAUAUUUAAGCAGCAUAUUAAUACUCAAUGGUACAGCUGGACAGAUUGUGUUCCUCCUAGAGAAUGUUGCUGUUGCUUUUCUGAAAUUCAGUAGUGCUAUCAUAACAUACUUAGUGGAAAACAUGGAUAAUGGGAAGAAAGGAAUAAAGAAAGGAAGGAAGGGGGAAAGGAAGGAAGGGAGGAAGGAUAAAGAGAGAAGGGAAGAAAGAAAAACAGAUACUGGAAAGAGAACAAAUCAAGGCAAGGAUUAAAGUGAUGAAAUACUUCGUGUUAUUAAAGAAACCCACAUUACCUGAUUCUUUAAGAGUGAAAAAGAAAAAUACGUUUUAACUCAUC
rnacentral:lncRNA from 1 species